UACCAGCACCCCGAGUGGUCGGGACGAUUAUUGGGCCUAAAGCAUCCGUAGCCGGCCUUACAAGUCCUCCGUUAAAUCCAGCUGCUUAACAGGGUGGCUGCGGAGGAUACUAUAAGACUAGGAGGCAGGAGAGGCAAGCGGUAGCUCAGUGGGUAGGGGUAAAAUCCGUUGAUCCAUUGAAGACCACCAGUGGCGAAGGCGGCUUGCCAGAAUGCGCUCGACGGUGAGGGAUGAAGCUGGGGGAGCAACCGG
rnacentral:rRNA from 1 species